UGACAAUUAUUUGAAAUAACCUGUGAUUAUCAUAUAUAUAUAUAUAUAUAUAUGUAUAUAUAUAUAUAUAUAUAUAUAUAACUCCACAGAUAAGAAAUUAAUCUGUCAACAGAGGUAACUAAAUUGAACAUAAUCAGGCCUUAUGCAAAAUCCCUGAAGUAUGAGAGACGUUUAACACUAUAGAUGCCUUAAAAGGCACUUCACUUUCAUUGCAUCUGCUUUUUCACACAAUAAAGGUGAAUGGUGACUGAAACUACCAUUCCUUUUAUGUUCCAAAGAAGAAAUGAAGUCAGACAAGUUUGGAACAAAAUGAAGCUAUUUACAUGAAGGAGAUCGCCUACACUUUACAUUGGCAAGACUAUCAGGGAUCCAAAGCUGGAAGAAAGAGCGGAGGAAGACGGUGAGGGAGAAUGGCCCUGAAGCCAUAUUCAUCUGCCUCUAUCCAUGAGAAGACAUUAACACGGACAGAAGGGACUCCUUCUCAUGUGCUGUGGAGUAGUUUCUGAGAAAUGAGCACUAACCUGGUUCUCUAGCAUGAGCCCAUCCCUGCUGGUAGUGCUGGGCAUCUACGUGUUCAACUGCACUGGUUGCAGCCAGGAUGGCAUGAAGACCACUAUCACGGG